rnacentral:lncRNA from 1 species
UAUAGUCUUCAGGCCAUCAAAACACGGUUCAUGCAGAAAUUUCCCAACAGAUCACUGAGCACUGUUAUAAUGCAGGAUCUGUAACUCAACCAAAACAUGCAUUUUGUACUCAUCAAUAACUUUGUUAAGAGUUUCUAAUCAAAUUGGGGAGAUGAACCCUACAAAAGAAAUGGCAUAAGACCUUUAGAGAGAUCUAUAACCACAAGAAUAGAAUAUUGCACACUGUAAAAUGAAUACAUAAGAAGAAUGAACAGUCAUGAUGGCUUAGAAAGAAAGAAUUCAUUAAGCUCCACAUCACAAUGUGAACACAGUAAGGAAAAAAAAUGGGGAAC